UACGUGGGGGGCAAGCGUUGUUCGGAAUUACUGGGCGUAAAGAGCGUGUAGGCGGCCAGACAGGUCCGUUGUGAAAACUCGAGGCUCAACCUCGAGAUGUCGAUGGAAACCGUCUGGCUAGAGUCCGGAAGAGGAGUGUGGAAUUCCUGGUGUAGCGGUGAAAUGCGCAGAUAUCAGGAAGAACACCUAUGGCGAAGGCAGCACUCUGGGACGGUACUGACGCUGAGACGCGAAAGCGUGGGGAGCGAACAGG
rnacentral:rRNA from 1 species